rnacentral:rRNA from 1 species
GAUGAACGCUGACAGAAUGCUUAACACAUGCAAGUCGAUGGGGAAGUGGUGCUUUCCCCCUGGCAACCAUGGCGGACGGGUGAGUAACGCCUAAGGGACUUCCCUGCAGGACUGGGAUAACUGGGGGAAACUCCUCACAAAACCCGAUAAUGUCAUGGAGCUGCAUGGCUUUAUGAUGAAAGGAGACGCCUGCGGAGAGCCUUGCGUCCUAUUAGCUAGUUGGUGAGGUAAUGGCUCACCAAGGCGAAGAUAGGUAGCCGGCCUGAGAGGUGGGACGGCCACGAGGGGACUGAGAUACGGCCCUUACGACUACGGGAGGCAGCAGUGGGGAAUAUUGGACAAUGGGGGCAACCCUGAUCCAGCAAUUCUGUGUGCACGAAGAAGGUUUUCGGAGUGUAAAGUGCUUUCAGCAGGGAAGAAGUAAGUGACGGUACCUGCAGAAGAAGCGACGGCUAAAUACGUG